rnacentral:rRNA from 1 species
UCCGUGCCAGCAGCCGCGGUAAUACGGAGGAGGCAAGCGUUAUCCGGAAUUAUUGGGCGUAAAGCGUCCGUAGAUGGUUUUGUAAGUCUGCUGUCAAAGGCUGUGGCUUAACCACGGGAGGGCAGUGGAAACUAUGAGACUAGAGUACAGUAGGGGCAGUGGGAAUUCCCAGAGUAGCGGUGAAAUGCGUAGAUACUGGGAAGAACACCGAAGGCGAAAGCACACUGUUGGGCUGUGACUGACAUUGAGGGACGAAAGCCAGGGGAGCGAAAGGGAUUAGAUACCCC